CCCUUAGAUGUUCUGGGCCGCACGCGCGCUACACUGAUGCAUUCAACGAGUCCAACCUUGACCGAGAGGUCCGGGUAAUCUUUGAAACUGCAUCGUGAUGGGGCUAGAUUAUUGCAAUUAUUAAUCUUCAACGAGGGAUGCCUAGUAAGCGUGAUUCAUCAAAUCGCGUUGAUUACGUCCCUGCCCUUUGUACACACCGCCCGUCGCUCCUACCGAUUGAGUGUGUUGGUGAGGAGUUUGGAUUGGCCUCGGAAGGUGGUUCGCCACCGUCCGUAGCUGAGAAGUUCUCCAAACCGCCCCACUUAGAGGAAGGAGAAGUCGUANCA
rnacentral:rRNA from 1 species